CCGAGAACGAGCGGCUGCGCGGCCUCCUGCAGCACCUGCGCCGCCGCCUCCGCGCCGAGCUCGCCCGCGCCGCGCAGGCACCUCCUGAUGCAAAUGUUGCUGCUUGCCAGGCUGAACAUAAAAGAGAGAAGAAGCAGGAAAACCAGGUAGCGGAUAGAUUUCAGAAUGAGCUAGAGCAGGAGCCAGCCUUCAUCGAAGAGAGACUGAAGCUAUAUGAAGAGCUCAAAAAAGAACAUGAUGCUCUCCUUGAAUCCAGAGCAUCCGGCCAGAGCAGGCUGAUCGAAAUCACCCUGGCCGAUGGGAAGCAGUUGGAAGGAGAGUCUUGGAAAACAACUCCAUAUCAAAUAGCUUUAGGAAUCAGGUAACUUUCCAUGUACAUUAUCAUCUUUGACAAAAAAAUCAGAAAUCUUCCUGAGCAUAUGGUAUCCUGAUUCCUUUUAUUAAACUAAAAUGAGAAACCUACAA